UGCAAAUGAUUGCUUCAAUGUGAAUUAAAUGUGGCUGAAUUUGUUCAUAUGGAUUCUAAGUUCAGUAUCUACCUUGAUCCAUACUUAAGUGUGUGUGUGUGUGUGUGUGUGUGUGUGUAUUAGUCCCUCUACUGAAAUGACAAAAAAGCACUGCAA